rnacentral:rRNA from 1 species
GCGCAGCAGGCGCGAAAACUUUACAAUGCGGGAAACCGUGAUAAGGGAACUGUCGAGUGCCCGUAAAAUCGGGCUGUCCAUCUGUUUAAAUAACAGGUGAAGAAAGGGCCGGGCAAGACCGGUGCCAGCCGCCGCGGUAAUACCGGCGGCUCGAGUGGUGGCCACUAUUACUGGGCUUAAAGCGUUCGUAGCUGGUCUGUUAAGUCUCUGGGGAAAUCUACUGGCUUAACCAAUAGGCGUUUCAAGGGAUAACUGGCAGACUAGGGACCGGGAGAGGUGAGAGGUACUCCAGGGGUAGGA